ACGAACGCUGGCGGCGUGCUUCACACCUGCAAGUCGCACGGAAAGGCCCUGCUUGCAGGGUGCUCGAGUGGCGAACGGGUGAGUAACACGUGGGUGAUCUGCCCCUUACUUUGGGAUAAGCCUGGGAAACUGGGUCUAAUACUGGAUAGGACCAUGCUGUAGGUGGUGUGGUGGAAAGAUUAGUUUCGGUAAGGGAUGAGCUCGCGGCCUAUCAGCUUGUUGGUGGGGUAAUGGCCUACCAAGGCGUCGACGGGUAGCCGGCCUGAGAGGGUGGACGGCCACAUUGGGACUGAGAUACGGCCCAGACUCCUACGGGAGGCAGCAGUGGGGAAUAUUGCACAAUGGGCGCAAGCCUGAUGCAGCGACGCCGCGUGGGGGAUGACGGCCUUCGGGUUGUAAACUCCUUUCAGCCAUGACGAAGCCCUUGUGGUGACGGUAGUGGUAGAAGAAGCACCGGCUAACUACGUG
rnacentral:rRNA from 1 species